GCUCGCUUUGGCAGUAUAUACCAACAUCGGAACCAUACAGAAAAGAUUUCUCUGGCCCCCGCACAAGGAUGAUACACAAAUCCAUGAAGCAUUCCAUAUGUAA